rnacentral:rRNA from 1 species
CAUUGUCGAGACCCGAAAGUGACCGAGCAAUUCUGAUAACCUGUGAACAAUAUAUAAGGCGGCGGCACAUGCCGCCGUUAAACACCCUCCUCCCUUUAUUCCCAAACCCCCUGAACGGAGUGAGGAUGGAGAGGAGGGUGGAAAACAAACCCGGCGCAGCUCCGCGCCAAGGAAUUUGUAAAGUGUGAGUGUGCACGGAACAUUCUCCAGGCCCGAUGGACUUGGCGGAGUGUUGUUGCUACUUGCUAUGGUUUGUAGGACUCUCGACAAUGGAUAUCUUGGCUCUUGCAUCGAUGAAGAGCGCAGCGAAAUGCGAUACGUGGUGCGAAUUGCAGAAUCCCGUGAACCAUCGAGUUUUUGAACGCAAGUUGCGCCCGAGGCCACCUGGCCAAGGGCACGCCCGCCUGGGCGUCAUGCAUCAUGUCGCUUCGUACAUCACUAACCGCCAAUGUGCGGGACGGUGCUGGCAUGAAUGCGGAGGGUGGCCCGUCGUGCAUAUAAUUGUGUGGCGGGUUGAAGAGCUGGAAGCCUUCCUAUUGGCUAUGGUCGAUGAUUGGUGGAUGGAAGCGGUCGUUAGGCCCACAUUAACGCUAUCGUACCGUUAUGUCGAGGAAGGCAAACUUAAAUCCUAUAGGCGAACCUAACUGGCACACAGUAGGUGCUGCCUCGAAUGCGACCCCAGGAUGGGCGGGAU